rnacentral:lncRNA from 1 species
GCACACGGUGUGCACACCCCUUCUCCUCCGUCGGAUGAGGAAUCCAUGGUCUGUUAAAUAAUUCGUCGGAUUUUAAUUAUAUCUGUCAUUAACUUUGUUUUAGGAUUCGUUUUAAUUUAGAAUUUAUAGGUCAGAUUUACAUUAGCUGUCAGUUAUAGGUCCUACUUCUGUGUUAUCUUGUAUGUGUAGGUUCUAGUUCGCUUUGUUUUAGGGGUUUCGUUUAAGGGUUUCUUUUUCAUCUUCGUUCCACAUCUUCCGGUUCUGUUCCUUCGGUGCUCCACAGUUCCUCCAUCCGAUCGGUGCUAUUUUCUUCUCCUUCCUUUCUAUCAAUGGGUUUUCUUCGUCUUGUCUUACCGUCUAUCAUUGUGUUUUCACUUUCCUUUCGUUAUCGCUAUUUCUUCGAUUCCAGUUUCAUUUUCGCGGUUCACUUUCGCGAUGUCUUUCAUUUCGUCUCGUUUUGCUGCAUUUCCGUUCUCUGGACAAUGGUUUCAUUCCGUUGUAGGGUUUAAAUUGGAUUUUACUAGUUCUAGGGUUUCGAAUUGAUUUGUUUUUGCGAUUUCUUUACCGUUUAGCGUUUUAGGGUCAGGGAUUUGUUUUGGGGAUUUCUUUUUACCGGUUACCCAUUAGUUGUAGAGGUUUCAAACUGGUUGUUGUUGGUUGUAGAAUUUCAAAAUGGAUUUUACUAGUUCUAGGGUUUAAGCAUUGGCGAAUUCAACGAAUGCAGGGACAUUGGGAUUUCUUUACCGUUUAGCGUUUUAGGGUUAGGGAUUUGUUUUGGGGAAUUCUUUUAACAUUUUAGGGAUUUCUUUUAACCGGUUACCUAUUAAGAUUCAACCGGUUUAGGGUUUAUCGUUUAACGGACUUUGAAAUUUCCCCCAAAAUGGGAUUUAACCAGUCUACACUUUAGAUGGUAAACAGGAUUUCUUUCAACGUUUCCAUUCUUUAACGGUUACCCAUUUACAUUUAACCUGUUUAGGAUUUAUCGUUUAACGGACUUUGAAAUUUUCCCCAAAAUGGGAUUUAACCGGUCUACACUUUAGACGGUAAACGGGAUUUCGUCGUUGGGUUUUGGUAAUUGGGAUUUCGUCUACACUUCACCUUCAUUGGGUUUCGUCAAAGUCUUCCACGACUUUGUUCUCCAGUCAUUUCUUUCUAGUUUGUAUCACGGUUCUAAUUUCGUCUCUUACGAUUUCACUUUCGUCUCACAUGAUUUCACUUUCGUCUACACUUUACCGUCCUUUCUCGACUUUAUGGGUUUUCAAACGUUCACUAGGUCUAUUGGUUUUCCAAAGUUUUAAAACUUUCAUUAGUUUAUUUGAUUCAAUCAAAAAUAUGGAUUUCAUCGUUAUCGACCAUUUCUUCAACUUCCCGUAUGUUUUACUCAUUAUCAUCCGAUCGUUCAACCUCUUAUUCAUCCAUUAAAUUUAUACUACGUGUUUUAGAUUCAUGACGCGACAAAAAGUUUUCAUCCAUUCGAUUGAGUUUUCGUUUCAGGGUUUUAAGUUUGCUUUACCUAGUUUAAGGAUUUCGAUUCACAGUUGACAGCUCCACACUUGAAAGCUCCACUGCAGCUCUGCAGCGAUUUCAUUAUCUACAGAGCUUGGAGUUUCUUCGGUUUAAAGAGAGCUUCGAGUUUCUACGGUUUUCAAGUAUUCUUAAUCGCUAAACUAAUUCCUGUUAUUCAAUAACUUAUUUUUCGAAUUGGAUUCUCUGCAGAGUAAAUAUUGGGGGAAAUUGAAACAGGACAUCAUGCCUUCUGUCUAGGUAUAUAUGUACUUCAUUCGAUUCAAAAACUUCUUCCAUCUCUUUCAUAACUUCAUUUCGGUUGUCAUUCUUUAGAUUUCUAAUUGGAUCUCUUCAUUCUUUAUAUGCUUACUGAUGAAGAGUAACUAGCUUUUCGACAUAGAUUUAUCUUCGUAUUGAUUUUAUACUAAAUGUUCAUCUAAACAUAUAACUUCAAUUAUACUAUUCCAAAGCACAGUAUUUAACUUUCUUUUCUAGUUUUCAAAUAGGCCGUGGGAGGUCAUCAAAGAGACGCUGUCAUUAGGAAGGAUAUGUAUUGUCUAUUACAUUAAAUUUGAUUUAACAGGAAUGAUGACGCUAUCAAUCAUUCUGUCACCGAAGACGGAUGGAAACUGUCACAGAAGACCAAAUCGGCUGUCAAUCAAUUUUGACGCACACCAGUUGAAAAAAGAUGAAGAAAUUUAAUGCGACAAUUACUUUUUUUAAUGAUAAAUACUGAGACCAUAUCAAAUCGAACUUUUACAGAGAUUUAAUAGUCAAAAUAAAUUCACAUCGAUUGUAAUGAUGAAAUUUUUAGGAUCUUGUAUAAUAACACUAUUGUCCCACCCACGUCCAUAUAUAGAUAAAUCUGUCAUACUUGAUUUUUCCACCCUAAAUAGAUAUCGUUGUG